UUUUUCCUGCUUUUUCUUCUUUCUUCUUUUAGACUGUUAAGCGGGACCGAGUUGACAAAUUUGUAAGUCUCCUGGAAGACGAAAACUGCCUAAGAGGUUCACAGACAUAAUCCAAGACUAUUUCCAAAAAGUAAACAACUGCAGAUGCUUGUGUUCCAUGCACUUCGAGAUAUAGUCCUGCUCCUUACUAAAGAUCGAAUCCUGUACAUUCGUAACAUUUGAUUUGGCACACAGCUACAGCAGUUGAAUGGUUAUCAUACACAGCGCUUUUUGAGUUGUGUUUUAAAAUAAAAACUAAAAUUUAUCAUUACAGCUAAUCAGAAUGAGGGAAAAUCUGGUACAAGCUACGGAAUAUCAGAUAGGCGGGAAAACACGAACAAUCAUGUAAUGAUUGUACGUUUAUUUGAAAAUUAUUCUAUGAAUGAAGGAAGUGAAAUGAGUAAAAAUUUGAGUGCUACCUAGGAAGUGACCAGGCAACGACGCAUAAAAAAACAAAAAUAAUAACAUAAAUAUUUCUUUGGACACACUGCGUUGCAUUUUGAAAUGUCUAACUGUCAAACUGUCCCAUGUGAGGGAGAGGAUUAAGUGUAGCAUGCAACUACGUACGAUUUGUAAAAUGCACUUUUAUAGUGACUUCGACUCCGACAUUUAUCUACGAUCCUUAAUUUUGCUGAUUGUUAACAAAGCUAGGAACAGUUUGGAAAGA